CGGUAAUUCCAGCUCCAAUAGCGUAUACUAAAGUUGUUGCAGUUAAAAAGCUCGUAGUUGGAUUUCUGCGGGGACGGAGCGGCCGGACGCAACUUGCGUCUCGAGCUAGCGCUUUCCCCGCAUCCUGCCGCGAACCGUGCUACCAUUAGCUUGGUGGCGCUGGGGAUCGGCUCGAUUACUUUGAGAAAAAUAGAGUGUUCAAAGCAGGCCACACGCCUUGAAUAAGUUAGCAUGGAAUAAUGACUAAGGACUUCGGUUCUAUUUUGUUGGUGUUCGGGACUGAAGUAAUGAUUGAUAGGGACAGUUGGGGCGGUCUGUAUUCCAAAGCGAGAGGUGAAAUUCUUAGACCUUCGGAAGACAAACAGCUGCGAAAGCGUUCCGCAAGGAUGUUCCCUUUGAUCAAGAACGAAAGUUGGGGGAUCGAAGACGAUCAGAUACCGUCGUAGUCUCAACUAUAAACUAUACCAGCUAGGGAUCGGUCAACGUUUAAUCAUUCGACCUGAUCGGCACCUUAUGAGAAAUCAAAGCAUCUGGGUUCCGGGGGGAGUAUGGUCGCAAGGCUGAAACUUAAAGGAAUUGACGGAAGGGCACCACCAGCCGUGGAGCCUGUGGCUUAAUUUGACUCAACACGGGAAAACUUACCAGGUCCAGACAUAGUAAGGAUUGACAGAUUGAUAGCUCUUUCUUGAUUCUGUGGGUGGUGGUGCAUGGCCGUUCUUAGUUGGUGGAGUGAUUUGUCUGGUUAAUUCCGUUAACGAACGAGACCCCAGCCUGCUAAAUAGCGCGGCUGAGCUUUGCUCGGUGCGAGCUUCUUAGAGGGACUAUGAUGCGCGAUAGCACAUGGAAGUUUGGGGCAAUAACAGGUCUGUGAUGCCCUUAGAUGUUCUGGGCCGCACACGGGUUACACUGGCGCCUGCAACGAGCAUAUCAGCUGGCCCGAGAGGGUCUUGGCUAAUCUUUUGAACCGGCGCCGUGCUUGGGAUUGACCAUUGCAAUUGUUGGUCAUGCAACGAGGAAUGCCUUGUAAACGCGAGUCAUCAGCUCGCAUUGAAUACGUCCCUGCCCUUUGUACACACCGCCCGUCGCUCCUACCGAUGAAUGUUCCGAUGAAAUUUUCGGAGAGCGCCAGAGAACGGGGCUCUGCCUUGCAGAUCUGGAGGCUCAAAGUCACUUAAAUCUGAACAUUUCGAGGAAGGAGAAGUCGUAACAAGGUAGCCG
rnacentral:rRNA from 1 species